rnacentral:tRNA from 1 species
AGUAAAAUGACUGAAUUAGGUGAUAAAUUGUAAAUUUAUUUAUGGAUAAUAUCCUUUUACUG